rnacentral:rRNA from 1 species
UACGGGGGGGGCAAGCGUUGUUCGGAAUUACUGGGCGUAAAGGGCUCGUAGGCGGCCAACUAAGUCAGACGUGAAAUCCCUCGGCUUAACCGGGGAACUGCAUCUGAUACUGGAUGGCUUGAGUUCGGGAGAGGUGAGUGGAACUGCGAGUGUAGAGGUGAAAUUCGUAGAUAUUCGCAAGAACACCAGUGGCGAAGGCGGCUCACUGGCCCGAUACUGACGCUGAGGCACGAAAGCGUGGGGAGCAAACAGG